AAUCUUUAUUUUUUUUCUUGUUAGUUAGAACCUGGCCCUUUAGAUGAAACCCAGAUUGCUACUAUAUUAAGAGAAAUACUGAAAGGACUUGAUUAUUUGCAUUCGGAGAAGAAAAUUCACAGAGAUAUUAAAGCUGCCAACGUCCUGCUCUCUGAGCACGGGGAGGUGAAGCUGGCGGACUUCGGAGUGGCGGGCCAGCUGACAGACACCC